GACGAACCGAGCGAACGUUGUUCGGAAUCACUGGGCCUAAAGGGCGCGUAGGCGGGCCGUCAAGUCAGGGGUGAAAUCCUCCAGCUUAACUGGAGAACUGCCUUUGAUACUGACGGCCUCGAGUGAGGUAGGGGCGUGCGGAACUGAUGGUGGAGCGGUGAAAUGUGUUGAUAUCAUCAGGAACUCCGGUGGCGAAAGCGGCACGCUGGACCUUUACUGACGCUGAGGUGCGAAAGCGUGGGGAGCAAACAGG
rnacentral:rRNA from 1 species